rnacentral:misc_RNA from 1 species
CUAGUCGGGUUUUGUAAAUUGUACUGUAAACCUUCUUUCGUGAUGAAGAAGAGUGAGAAAAUAUUAGAUUCCUUUAACAUGCACCAAUUCAGUGUGGAAAAAGGCCCCAUGGAUCACCUACCAGUCCUACCCCAUCUAUUUUGUUCUCUCACAUAGCCUUGGCUGUGGCAUUGCACGUCAAUGACUUGCAUUAUAGACCAGCCUGUGGACAACACUUUGAGAACCACUGCAGUAGAAGGCUGUCGAAAGGACCGAAAUCGAAGAGGAGAUAUCUAGCUAGCUAUUGAGACUAUAGAAGAUGUCCGAUGCCAUUAUGGAUCUAGUUGCCUGAUUUAAAUUUGGUUUCGUUUUUUGGAGCAGAUGUUCGAGGCCAUUAUGGAUCUAGUUGCCUGAUUUAUAUUUUGUUUCGUUUUUUUUCGGUUUGGAGCAGAUG